AUUUGGCCCUGGGACAAGACUUUACGUUAUGGGCAGCUAUCAAGUCGAAAGACCCAAAGUGACUGUCUACCCAGCAUCUACACCUGAAUCAGAUGGGAAGACCAUCCUGCUAUGUCUGGCAAGAGAUAUGUCUCCAGACUUAGUCAAAAUCUCAUGGAAGAUGGAGGAUGGAAGUGGCCAAAAAGUGGAUGUGCCCCAAAGAGAGAAGGAAGAGCUGGAACAGAUAGAGAAAGGACAGACAACCAGUAUGAUCAUCAUUGACAAAAGGAAGGCCGACACAAACAAAUACAGUUGUUCUGUUAAGCAUGAAAAGGGUACUCAAGCUGUUGACAUACCAAAAGAGAAACCAGCUGAAGUUCCUCCAACCGUUAUGGUAGCACCAGCCUGUCAUUCCAGAAAUCACACAAAGGGCCCAGUGACUCUGGAGGUUGCAGAUGAUUUCUUCCAGUCAAUGUUCAGCCUGAACCUGGCCUCACUGACAUAUACAGUGAUGAUAGUGAAGAGCCUGGUGUACAGCUGUGGACUCGCUGUCCUGCACAGAAACAUGGAAAGUAGACCCAGAACCCAGUAGACACAAACACUGAAUGGUAUCCCCCGCUGUGGGCAGUGUUUUGCUGGGCUGGGAAUAGCAAGCAUUUUACAUGGCAAUGAGGUUAAAUAUUUCAUUUGCAAUCGACUAGGUUUUU